GCCAACAGCUACAGCUCAGAUUGCACCUUUGUGUGGGAACUUCCAUAUGCAGCAAGUGUGGCCCUGAAGAUACCAAAAAAAAAAAAAAAAAAAAAAAGAUUCUUUGUGUUCUUAUUAUUGAGUUUAGAAAGUCUACAUAUUCAGAAUACAAGUCUUUUGUCAGAUAUGUGAUUUGCAUUUAUUUUCUCCCUUUUUGUGGCAUCCACUUCACAGGAUGUUUUGCAGAGUGAAAGUGUUUAAUUUAUUGUUGUUUUUAUUUUAGUGAUCAGGCUUUUGUUGUUAUGCCUGAGAUUUCUUUGCUUAACCCUAAAUUACAAAGAUUUUCUAUGUUUUUCCUAAAAGCCUUAUAUUUUUACAUUUUACAUUGAGCUCUAAGAUCCAUUUUUAUUUAAUCUUUGUUUAAGAUCUGAGGUUUAGAUUGAAAUUCUCCCUCCCCCUUUUUUUUUGCAUGUGGAUAUGCAAUUAUUCCAACACCAUUUGUUAAAAACACUGUACUUCCUCCAUUCAGUUUCUUUUGUGCCUUUGCAAAAAAAAAAAAAUUGAUGUGGAGCUAUUUCUGGGUUCUUAAAUCUGUUGUAUUGAUCGAUGUGUCUGUUCCUCUGCCAAUAAACACCACACUGUCUUGAUUACUGCAGUUACAGAGUGAGCCUCAAACUGGGAUAUUGUGAUUCCUGUCUCUUUAUUCUUCUUUUCCAAAAUUGUUUUUGGUUAUUUUAGUUCUCUUGCCUUUCCAUAUACAUUUGAGAAGAAGCUUGUCUUUACUGGCAAAAAGCCUUGCUGGGAUGAGCUAUUAUUUUUAAAUGUUAGUAUGACUUUUUUCAUUCUGUGUUUAUUUUAUUGUCCUGCUUUACAGUUCUCACAUCAUCAUAGAGCCAAAGUGAGUUUUAGAGAUCGUUUUUCAAGAUUCCAACAUUUUUCAGUGGAGAAAUCUUUUUUUUUUUCUCUUUAGGGCUGCACCUGCAACAUAUGGAAGUUCCCAGGCUAAGAGUUGAAUUGGAGCUUCAGCUGCUGGCCUAUACCACAGCCAUAGCAAUGUGGGAUCUGAGCUGCAUCUUUGACCUACACCAAGCUCAUGAAAAUGCCUCAGAUCCUUAACCCAUUAAGCAAGCCCAGGGAUCAAACCCAAGUCCUCAUGGGUACUAGUUGGGUUCAUUACUACUGAGGCACAGUGGGAACUCUUGGAAAAGUCUUUCUUUGGAAAAGAUGCAGGGAGGGUGAGUGACUUCUAAAGUCACUCAGGAGAUUUAUUGGUUUAUUGAUUCCUUCUCCUGGAGAAUUGUCAAUUUGUCACAAGGCCUUCCUUCUAACUGUACUGAAUCUUUUCAUUUUCCCGUCCUUUUUUUUUUUUUUUUUUUUUUUUUUUUUUUUUUUUUUUAAGGCCACACUCUAGGUUAUAUAUGGAAGUUCCCAGGCUAGGGAUUGCAUCUGAGUUGUGGCUGCAACCUAUGCCAUAGCUGUGGCAAUGUCAGAUCCUUUAACCCACUGUGCUGGGCUGCAGAGCAAACCCACACCUCUGCAGGGACCAGAGCCACUGCACUCAAGUUCUUAACCCACUGUGCUGGGGUGGGGGAACUCCUUUCUACUUUAUCGAGAGGGAUUAUUUAGAAUUUUUCUACUAGCUAUAAUGAAAAAAAAAUUUUUUUUUAAAUUAGCAUGUUGUUCAUCUAAGCAUAAAAAAUUAGAACUUUCUGUUGAAUUCCAGAGAUGAUGUGAUCAAUAGUAUGGGGUCCUCUUGGAAACUUGUUAAAAGUGCAGGUUCCUGACCCUGGGGUUCUUGUUCAGUAUGUGUGGUGUGGGGCUCAGGAACCCACAAUGCGAAGAGGCAUCUAAGUGCCUCUGGUGCAGGGGGUCGUGGGCCACACUCAGAGCAGCCAGCAAUGAUCGAAAAAGCAUGUGGGAGUUUCUGCUGUGGGGCAACGAGAUUGGUAGUGUCUUGGAAGCACCGGCUCGGCACAGUGUGUUAAGGAUCUGACAUCGCCGUGGCUAUAGUGUAGGUUGCAGACGUGGCUCGGAUCCCGAGUUGCUGUGGCUCUGGCGUAGGCCAGCGGCUACAGCUCCGAUUAGACCCCUAGCUUGGGAACCUCCAUAUGCCGCAGAAGCGGCCCAAAGAAAUAGCAAAAAAAAAAAAAAAAAAGACAAAGAAUGCAUCAAAAGACCCUUCUUAGCUUAGAGAUUUUCCUCUCUGAAAGUAUUUAUAUAAUAUAUCUAGUUCUAUCUAUCUAUCUAUCUACAUUGUUUAUGGCUGCAUUCGCGGCAUAUGGAAGUUGCCAGGCUAGGGGUUGAAUUAGAGCUACAGCUGCUGGCCUACACCACAGCCACAGCAACACCGGAUCCUAACACACUGAGCGAGGCCAGGGAUUGAACCCACAUCCUCAUGCAUGCUAAUCGGGUUCUUAACCUGCUGAGCCAUGACGGGAACACCAGAAUUUAUAUUUUCAUUAUCAUCCAGUUCUAGGUAGUUUUAAAAAACACAUAUGUAUGUAAAUGUAAUAUAUAUGUACAUUGCAUUUACAUAUAUGCCAUAUUUUACAUACAUGUAAAAUAUGUAAAUGUAUACAUAUACAUACACUUUUUCAGAUUCUUUUCCUUUGUAGGUUAUCACAAAAUAUUGAAUAGAGUUCUCUGUGCUAUUCAGUAGGUCCUUGCUGUUUAUCUGUUUUAUGUAUAGUAGUGUGUAUAUGUCAAUCCCAACUCCUAAUUUAUCUCUCCCCACCCUCCAGUUCUAGGUAGUUUUUGAUGAAUGAAUUAUUUAAAAGCUUAUUCGUUACUGUCCACACACACCAGGGGAUGUUUCAGUUGUGCUAUUGAUUUCUGGCUUAAUUUUACUGUGCUCAGUGAAUGCGCUCAAAGUAAUUUCCAUCUUUAGAAAUUUGCUGAGACAUACUUCCUGGCCCAGCAUGUGGUCAGUUGUUGUCAACAUUCUACUGACUUCUGAAAAUGAUACAUAAUUCUACAGUUGUUGAGUAGAGUGUUUGAGUGAUAAUAAUAUUGUUCAGUUAAAAGUGUCACAUCAACUGAACGCUACUUACAAGGGACACUUCUUGACCUAAGAAUAUAGAGAAAUUAAAAGGAUAGAGGUGUUCCUAUGUGGCUUAGUGGGUUAAGGAUCUGGCGUUGUCACUGCAUUGACUUAGGUUACUGCUGUGGUGCAGUUCCCUGGCCUGGGAACUUCCAUGUGCCACAGGGCGAGGCCAAAACAAAAAGUAGGGAGUUCCUGCUGUGGCACAGUAGGUUAAGAACCCCACUGCAGCGGCUCAGGUCGCUACAGAGAUGUGGAUUAGAUCCCCGGCCUGGUGCAAUGGGUUAAAGGAUCUGGCCUCACAGCUGUGGCUCAGAUUCAAUCCUUGGCCUGGGAACUUCCAUAGGCCGUGGGUGUGGCCAUUAAAAAAAAAAAGAAAAAAGUAAAAGGAAUGAAAAAUUGAGUUUUUCCUGUUACUCUGUUAGUUCCUGAGAGAGGUGUGUUACAAUACCUCACUAAGAUUAUGGAUUAGGAUAUGGAUUAUGGAUUAAGAUUAAUUCUUCCUUAUUUCUUAUGUUUGCUUUAUAUAGUUCAAGGCCUGUUACUACAUUUAUACAAACUAUAGGAUUGUUUUAUUAGUCUGAUUACAGUGAUUUUUCCCUUAAAGUCUACUUUAAUUAACAUAGCGCUUCCAGAUUUCUUUUGGUUAGUGCUGGCAUACUCUUUUUUAAAAAAAUCGCAUUACUGGAGUUCCUCCUGUGGCUCAGUGGUAACAAACCCAACUAGUAUCCAUGAAGAUGUGGGUUUGAUCCCUGGUCUUGCUCAGUAGCUUAAGGAUCCAGUGUUGCUGAGAGCUGUGCUGUAGGUUGCAGAGGUGGCUUGGAUCC
rnacentral:lncRNA from 9 species